GGGAUCGCAAGACCUUGCGCUUUUAGAGCGGCCGAUGUCUGAUUAGCUAGUUGGUGAGGUAAAGGCUUACCAAGGCUUCGAUCAGUAGCUGGUCUGAGAGGACGACCAGCCACACUGGGACUGAGACACGGCCCAGACUCCUACGGGAGGCAGCAGUGGGGAAUUUUGGACAAUGGGGGAAACCCUGAUCCAGCCAUGCCGCGUGAGUGAAGAAGGCCUUCGGGUUGUAAAGCUCUUUCAGCCGGAACGAAACGGUCACGGCUAAUACCUGUGAUCACUGACGGUACCGGAAGAAGAAGCACCGGCUAACUACGUGCCAGCAGCCGCGGUAAUACGUAGGGUGCGAGCGUUAAUCGGAAUUACUGGGCGUAAAGCGUGCGCAGGCGGU
rnacentral:rRNA from 1 species